AUUUAUGAUACAGGAAUGUUUUAAUCAAUGAAUUUUCUAUUCCCUUUGUACUAUUUGUAUGUAGGUAUCCUGAGGCUCUUAUAUUUUUUAUUGCAUAAUUACAAGUUGUUUUCCUAUCUACUCACAUCUCAGGCCUUCAGGAAAAGAAAUUACAAGAAUCAAGUCUGACCACUGUUUAUCAAAACUUCUAAGUCAUAGUUUCUUUCCCAGUACCCUAUGACUCAGGUUAUAUAUAUAUAUUCUAUGCUGAAGGAUGUUAACCUUUAAUCAAUCUGUUUUUUGAACACAUACAAGAAUACCUUGCAUUAUUUUCCUUUCACUUGUUUUGAAGAACCUCUUGCCUUUCCUCUUUCACCUCUUUGAUCUAAUGUGAUUUCUAGCACAGUUCUUAAACUCAAUAACUCAGCAUUAGAUUACUUAUACUUUUUCAUCCUUUCUUUAUCCUAGGUUUGUUGUUGUUGUUGUAGUUGUUUGUUUUGUUUUUGCUAGACUCCACACAUGCACUGCAGAAUGGUUUUGGUGCACCUGCAUUUUGAAACAACAUUGUAUAUCUUUGCAAACUUUGUGGAAGUGUAUGAUUGGGAUUCUGGAGAUAAAAUCAUCAGCGAUUCUAGCUUGGGGCCAAACAUGAUUCUAAAAAACAACUCUGGCUUGAUGAUGGAUAUAUGGUACUGAUGUCCAAAAUGAAAUAAACUAUACUAUGCAUAUAAUGUGCAUAUUAGUUUAUUACCCUCUAUUAUUCAAACAUUUCUAACUAUCCUGCAAAAGGCUGGUACUGAAGUUUAUUAUGUGACAGAAAACCUACAACUGUCUUGACAGUAGAAAAAAAAGAAUGAAUCUGCCUCUAAUUAGGCAUCAGUAACAAAACUUAAGCUUAGGAGGUACGUUGUCUAAUUACUUCUAAGUAUAAAUAAGAGAGUUUUGCACAUGAACAUAUUUAAGUGUGCCUUUUAAUCAAUG
rnacentral:lncRNA from 1 species